rnacentral:pre_miRNA from 1 species
UCGAGUCGAAGAACUGAGAUCGAUUGGUGCAUAGAUAUCAAGAAGCCCCACUCAAUUCAACUCUAGCACCAUUCGAAAUCAGUGCUUUUGAUAAGAAA